rnacentral:rRNA from 1 species
AUCUAUGGCCAUGCUACCCUGAACAAGCCCGAUCCUGUCUGAUCUUAGAAGCUAAGCAGGGUCGGGCCUGGUUAGUACUUGGAUGGGAGACCACCUAGGAAGACCAGGUGCUGUAGGUG